rnacentral:rRNA from 1 species
GUCUGUGUCCAUGCCACCCUGAACAAACCCGAUGUCUGAUCUCAGAAGCUGAGCAGGGUCAGGCCUGGUUAGUACUUGGAUGGGAGACCGCCUAAGAAGACCAGGUGCUAUAGGCA